GACGAACGCUGGCGGCGUGCCUAAUACAUGCAAGUUGAGCGCUGAAGGUUGGUACUUGUACCAACUGGAUGAGCGGCGAACGGGUGAGUAACGCGUGGGGAAUCUGCCUUUGAGCGGGGGACAACAUUUGGAAACGAAUGCUAAUACCGCAUAAAAACUUUAAACACAAGUUUUAAGUUUGAAAGAUGCAAUUGCAUCACUCAAAGAUGAUCCCGCGUUGUAUUAGCUAGUUGGUGAGGUAAAGGCUCACCAAGGCGAUGAUACAUAGCCGACCCGGUAGGGUGAUCGGCAACAUUGGGACUGAGACACGGCCCAAACUCCUACGGGAGGCAGCAGUAGGGAAUCUUCGGCAAGGGACGAAAGUCUGACCGAGCAACGCCGCGGGAGUGAAGAAGGUUUUCGGAUCGUAAAACUCUGUUGGUAGAGAAGAACGUUGGUGAGAGUGGAAAGCUCAUCAAGUGACGGUAACUACCCAGAAAGGGACGGCUAACUACGUGCCAGCCGCCGCCGUAA
rnacentral:rRNA from 1 species